CAUUUAUGUGAAAUUAUGUACCACAACUUAAUAGUUUUGCUUUAUGUAUUAAAUUGUUUUAUCUGUUGAACACCAAACAUAAACAAAAAGAAGUUAUAAACUCAUUAUUUUCAUUAAUUUUACAAAGUAAACAAAUUGUUUGCAUUUGAGUGCAGUGCAUGUUUUUGAAUUCCAACGGUCGAGAAGAGACUGAUCCCUGUCUGCUGAUUUAAAUUUAUGAUCUGAUGGAAAUAUUGUUGUGAUUGAGGUUUGAUGUCCUGAUGCAUGGAGAGGAAAGGGUAUUUAGAGACAGAGAUCCUGAAUCCUCUGUGACAUUCACGCAGCAUCUUGAGGAUUACUAGAGGAAUGAGACAUUCUGACACAUCUAAAAUAAACCGCUGUCCACACUCAAAUCCACUGUGAUGGAAACAGAUGCUGGACGCUGCAGACCAUCAGCCACCACAGCAAACCAAACCCACACUUGCUAUUAGACACUUUAUACCAAUGCUUGUCUUCUUUGAUGGAAACUCAUGCGCCACCUUGAGCAAAAAUAGUUAAUAAAAUCUUCCCUUUUGCAGCUGCCACAACAAUGCAUCAUCGAUCAUCCUCCUGUUGUGCUGAAAACUGGCUACAACUUCUGUUUCAAUUUGGCAAAAAAUGACUCUAUGAAAAACAAAGAUUCAUGCAAAAAAGUCUAUAGCAAUAAAAAAAAA